UACGGAGGAUGCGAGCGUUAUCCGGAUUUAUUGGGUUUAAAGGGUGCGCGGGCGGCACGGCAAGCCGGCGGUCAAAUCGCGGGGCUCAACCCCGCCCAGCCGUCGGAACUGCCGGGCUAGAGUGGGCGAGAAGUGCGCGGAAUGCGUGGUGUAGCGGUGAAAUGCAUAGAUAUCACGCAGAACUCCGAUUGCGAAGGCAGCGCACCGGCGCCCUACUGACGCUCAGGCACGAAAGCGUGGGUAUCGAGCAGG
rnacentral:rRNA from 1 species